GAUGAACGCUGGCGGCGUGCCUAAUACAUGCAAGUCGAGCGAACGGACGAGAAGCUUGCUUCUCUGAUGUUAGCGGCGGACGGGUGAUUAACACGUGGAUAACCUACCUAUAAGACUGGGAUAACUUCGGGAAACCGUAGCUAAUACCGGAUAAUUUUUUGAACCGCAUGGUUCAAAAGUUAAAGACGGUCUUGCUUUCACUUAUAGAUUGAUCCGCGCUGCAUUAGCUAGUUGUUAAGGUAACUGCUUACCAAGGCAACGAUGCAUAGCCGACCUGAAAGGGUCAACGGCCACCCUGGAACAGAGACAGGGUCGAGACACCUAGGGGAGGAAGCAGCCGGGACUCUUACGCGAUGGAGGAGAGGCGGACAUAGCAAAGCGGCGUGAGUGCUGAAGGUCUUAGGCUGGGAGAGCGAUGUUAUCCGGGAAGAACAUAAGUGUAAGUACCCGUGAUGAUCAUGACGGUACCUAAAGAGAAAGCCCCGGCUAACUCCGUG
rnacentral:rRNA from 1 species